rnacentral:rRNA from 1 species
CCUACGGGAGGCAGCAGUGGGCGAUCUUCCACAAUGGGCGGAACUCUGAUGCAGCGACGCCGCGUGAGCGAUGGAGUAUUUCGGUAUGUAAAGCUCUGUCAGCAGGGAAGAAAAUGACGGUACCUGACCAAGAAGCCCCGGCUAAAUACGUGCCAGCAGCCGCGGUAAUACGUAGGGGGCAAGCGUUAUCCGGAUUUACUGGGUGUAAAGGGAGCGGCGGCGGCAGGGCAAGCCUGAGGUGAAAGCCCGGGGCUCAACCCGGGGACUGCAUUGGAAACUGGCCUACUGGAGUGCCGGAGAGGCGAGCGGAAUUCCUAGUGUAGCGGUGAAAUGCGUAGAUAUAAGGAGGAACACCAGUGGCGAAGGCGGCCUGCUGGACGGUAACUGACGCUGAGGCUCGAAAGCGUGGGGAGCAAACAGGAUUAGAUACCCCGGUAGUC